rnacentral:rRNA from 1 species
GUGGAUUAGAUACCCUGGUAGUCCACGCCGUAAACGAUGAGUACUAAGUGUUGGGGGUCAAACCUCAGUGCUGCAGUUAACGCAAUAAGUACUCCGCCUGAGUAGUACGUUCGCAAGAAUGAAACUCAAAGGAAUUGACGGGGGCCCGCACAAGCGGUGGAGCAUGUGGUUUAAUUCGAAGCAACGCGAAGAACCUUACCAGGUCUUGACAUCGAUCUAAAAGGGAUAGAGAUAUCCUCAUAGCUAUAGAGAAGACAGGUGGUGCACGGUUGUCGACAGCU